rnacentral:tRNA from 1 species
GAGAGCUUAGCUUAAUUAAAGUGUUGGAUUUGCAUUCCAGUGAUGCAAGAUAAAGUCUUGUAAUUCUUA